rnacentral:rRNA from 1 species
UACGGAGGGGGGCUAGCGUUGUUCGGAAUUACUGGGCGUAAAGCGCACGUAGGCGGACUGUUAAGUCGGGGGGUGAAAUCCUGGGGCUCAACCUCAGAAUUGCCUCCGAUACUGGCAGUCUCGAGUGCGGGAGAGGUGAGUGGAAUUCCCAGUGUAGAGGUGAAAUUCGUAGAUAUUGGGAAGAACACCAGUGGCGAAGGCGGCUCACUGGCCCGUAACUGACGCUGAGGUGCGAAAGCGUGGGGGAGCAAAACAGG